GCUGUUGCUCAUUGGCAGAGCAGUUGCUUUGCAUACAGAAGGCUCCUGGUUCAAACCCUGGCAUCUCCA